rnacentral:misc_RNA from 1 species
ACGCCUGACCGCGUCUCGUUCGGCAACACGAUCAAGAAGGAGCGUGAUAUCGCGCGCGCCUACGCGCUCGGCAUCCGCAUGUUCGCGGUCGAUUGCUCCGCCGAAGUCGAGAAGGUCGCCCGUGCUGCGCCCGGCGCGAAGGUGUUCUGCCGCAUUCUCUACGAUUGCGCAGGCGCCGAGUGGCCGCUGUCGCGCAAGUUCGGUUGCGAUCCGGA